rnacentral:ncRNA from 2 species
GUGUAGUUUCAGGGAAGGUGAAAAUCCUUACUGGCGGUAACGAGGUAAUUCUUGUAUUAGUGAAUUUUCUCGAAGCCCGCGAGCGGCAACGCGCUGCUGAUUCGGUUAAAAUCCGAAGCCAACGGUUAAAGUCCGGAUGAAAGAAACGGAGG